UGUGGCCCGGAGACAGGUACGGCGCUGCCCCGCAGUGCCCGGGGAGCAGCGGCGACCCUCGCGGAACGUGGGACCCUGGGUUUGGCUUUGGCCUUGGUUUGGCUUUGGGGAGCUCCGGAGCCACACACCGAGACAGUGAAUCUCUGAAGUCUGCAGAGGGUGAGCUCAGGAGGGCGCAGGACGAGUAACGCGGUAAGCAGGAAAUCUGACAAAACGCCAUUCACGAGACCCUACCAAGGGAUGCCAGGGAUGGUGCCUGUCCUGCCAGCUCCAGGCAUGGGUGUCUGCAGCUCAGGAGAGAGCCAGGAAAUGCUGUUGAAGUGGCACCUUUGUCUUCAGUAGCAUUUUGCUGUGUCAUGGGCAUCUGCAACCCUGCAGCAUCACACAGAUGUGGAGAUGGACAGACACUGCUUAACAUUUCUUUUCCAGUUUCUGUAGCAAUUACAGCAUUACAUUGUCAAACCUCCAUAUUAAGCUAGAUUAAAAGUAUCCCUUAAUUUCC